AACGAACGCUGGCGGCAGGCUUAACACAUGCAAGUCGAGCGCCCCGCAAGGGGAGCGGCAGACGGGUGAGUAACGCGUGGGAAUCUACCCAUCUCUACGGAAUAACGCAUGGAAACGUGUGCUAAUACCGUAUACGUCCUUCGGGAGAAAGAUUUAUCGGAGAUGGAUGAGCCCGCGUUGGAUUAGCUAGUUGGUGGGGUAAAGGCCUACCAAGGCGACGAUCCAUAGCUGGUCUGAGAGGAUGAUCAGCCACACUGGGACUGAGACACGGCCCCGACUCCUACGGGAGGCAGCAGUGGGGAAUAUUGGACAAUGGGCGCAAGCCUGAUCCAGCCAUGCCGCGUGAGUGAUGAAGGCCCUAGGGUUGUAAAGCUCUUUCACCGAUGAAGAUAAUGACGGUAACCGGAGAAGAAGCCCCGGCUAACUUCGUGCCAGCCGCCGCAGUAAGAC
rnacentral:rRNA from 1 species